rnacentral:rRNA from 1 species
UGGGGAAUAUUGCACAAUGGAGGGAACUCUGAUGCAGCAACGCCGCGUGCGGGAUGACGGCCCUCGGGUUGUAAACCGCUUUCAGCCAUGACGAAGCUUUUGUGACGGCAGUGGUAGAAGAAGCACCGGCUAACUACGUGCCAGCAGCCGCGGCCAUACGUAGGGCGCGAGCGUUGUCCGGAAUGAUUGGGCGUAAAGAGCUUGUAGGCGGUUUGUCGCGUCGAUAGUGUAAACACGCAGCUUAACUGUGUGCCUGCUGUCGAUACGGGCUGACUCGAGGAGGGUAGGGGAGAAUGGGAUUCCCGGUGGAGCGGUGGAAUGCGCAGCUAUCGGGAGGAACUCCAGUGGCGAAGGGGGUUCUCUGGACCUUUCCUGACGCUGAUAAGAGAAAGGGUGGGUAGCAAACAGG